CAGGACGAACGUUGGCGGUGCGCUUAAUGCAUGCAAGUCGAACGAGAACUGGUUCAACCGUAAGGUUGUUCCAGGGACAGUGGCGAACGGGUGCGUAACACGUGAGAAACCUGCCCUGGAGAUCGGGAUAGCCCGAGGAAACUCGGAUUAAUACCGGAUACCUUCACCGAGUCGCAUGGCUCUAUGAAGAAAUGGUCCGCCGCUCCAGGAUGGUCUCGCGGCCUAUCAGCUUGUUGGUGAGGUAACGGCUCACCAAGGCAGCGACGGGUAGCUGGUCUGAGAGGACGAUCAGCCACACUGGGACUGAGACACGGCCCAGACUCCUACGGGAGGCAGCAGCAGGGAAUAUUGCACAAUGGGCGCAAGCCUGAUGCAGCGACGCCGCGUGCGGGAUGAAGGCCUUCGGGUUGUAAACCGCUUUCAGGAGGGACGAAAAUGACGGUACCUCCAGAAGAAGGCCCGGCCAACUACGUGCCAGCAGCCGCGGUAACACGUAGGGGCCAAACGUUGUCCGGAUUUAUUGGGCGUAAAGGGCUCGUAGGCGGUUCAACAAGUCGAUCGUGAAAACCCGGGGCUCAACCCCGGGACGCCGGUCGAAACUGUUGUGACUAGGGUCCGGUAGAGGAGAAUGGAAUUCCCGGUGUAGCGGUGAAAUGCGCAGAUAUCGGGAGGAACACCAGUAGCGAAGGCGGUUCUCUGGGCCGGCACUGACGCUGAGGAGCGAAAGCGUGGGUAGCAAACAGGAUUAGAUACCCUGGUAGUCCACGCCGUAAACGUUGGAUACUAGGUGUGGGGUUCCGACCAACGGUCCCCGUGCCGAAGCUAACGCAUUAAGUAUCCCGCCUGGGGAGUACGGCCGCAAGGCUAAAACUCAAAGGAAUUGACGGGUCCCCGCACAAGCGGCGGAGCAUGCGGCUUAAUUCGAUGCAACCCGAAGAACCUUACCUGGGUUUGACAUCACGGGAAAAGCUGUAGAAAUACAGUGUCCUUUUUGGCCCGUGACAGGUGGUGCAUGGCUGUCGUCAGCUCGUGUCGUGAAAAUGUUUGGGUUAAGUCCCGCAACGAGCGCAACCCUUAUCCUAUGUUGCCAGCGGUUCGGCCGGGGACUCAUAGGAGACUGCGGGGAUAACUCGGAGGAAGGUGAGGACGACGUCAAGUCAUCAUGCCCCUUAUAUCCAGGGCUGCACGCAUGCUACAAUGGCCAGUACAACGGGCUGCGACCUCGUGAGAGUGAGCGAAUCCUUAAGCAGGCCCAGUUCGGAUUGAAUCUGCACU
rnacentral:rRNA from 1 species